CUUGUCUUCCUUGCCUUUGCAGGAGACCAGCAUAAGUACUGAGAGAAUAGGCCACAUCAUUAGUGACCCUCGGCAGAAGGAAAAGAAUAAAGCAUUGGCUUCUGAUUUUCCUCACAUUUCUGCUUGUGCACAUGAGUUUAAUCCCCUGUCUCCCCUUUACUCCUUGGAUGUUCUCACUGACGCUUCUCACCGAAGAUGUUCACCAGCACACUGCUCUGCCAGACAGGCAAACAUACACUUGGGACCCCCAUGUUCACGUGACAUCAAGAGGAAACGGAAACCUGUGGCCACAGCAUCUCUGUCCAGCCCAAAUGCAG